rnacentral:rRNA from 1 species
UACGUAGGGACCAAGCGUUGUUCGGAUUUACUGGGCGUAAAGGGCGCGUAGGCGGCCCUACAAGUCACUUGUGAAAUCUCUGGGCUUAACUCAGAACGGCCAAGUGAAACUGUAGAGCUAGAGUGUGGAAGGGGCAAUCGGAAUUCUUGGUGUAGCGGUGAAAUGCGUAGAUAUCAAGAGGAACACCUGAGGUGAAGACGGGUUGCUGGGCCAACACUGACGCUGAGGCGCGAAAGCCAGGGGAGCAAACGGG